rnacentral:rRNA from 1 species
GACGAGUCAGAAACCGUUGAUGUAGGCGAAGGACAUGCGAAAGGUCCGGCGUAGAGGGUAAGACCCCCGUAGUCGAAACGUCAGCGGCUCGUUUGAGAGACACCCAAGUAGCACGGGGCCCGAGAAAUCCCGUGUGAAUCUGGCGGGACCACCCGCUAAGCCUAAAUAUUCCCUGGUGACCGAUAGCGGAUAGUACCGUGAGGGAAUGGUGAAAAGUACCCCGGGAGGGGAGUGAAAUAGUACCUGAAACCGUGUGCCUACAAGCCGUGGGAGCGUCGGAAUGUGCUUGCACAUUCUCGUGACUGCGUGCCUUUUGAAGAAUGAGCCUGCGAGUUUGCGGUGUGUUGCGAGGUUAACCCGUGUGGGGAAGCCGUAGCGAAAGCGAGUCCGAAUAGGGCGAUGGAGUAGCGCGCUCAAGACCCGAAGCGGAGUGAUCUAGCCAUGGGCAGGUUGAAGCGGAGGUAAGACUUCGUGGAGGACCGAACCCACCAGGGUUGAAAACCUGGGGGAUGACCUGUGGUUAGGGGUGAAAGGCCAAUCAAACUCCGUGAUAGCUGGUUCUCCCCGAAAUGCAUUUAGGUGCAGCGUCGUGUGUUUCUUGCCGGAGGUAGAGCACUGGAUAGGCGAUGGGCCCUACCGGGUUACUGACCUUAGCCAAACUCCGAAUGCCGGUAAGUGAGAGCGCGGCAGUGAGACUGUGGGGGAUAAGCUCCAUGGUCGAGAGGGAAACAGCCCAGAGCAUCGACUAAGGCCCCUAAGCGUACGCUAAGUGGGAAAGGAUGUGGAGUCGCAGAGACAACCAGGAGGUUGGCUUAGAAGCAGCCACCCUUGAAAGAGUGCGUAAUAGCUCACUGGUCUAGUGAUUCCGCGCCGACAAUGUAGCGGGGCUCAAGCGUACCGCCGAAGUCGUGUCAUUGCGAUAUAUACCCCCAACGGGGAUCGUGAUGGGUAGGGGAGCGUCGUGUGCCGGGUGAAGCAGCCGCGGAAGCGAGUUGUGGACGGUUCACGAGUGAGAAUGCAGGCAUGAGUAGCGAUACAAACGUGAGAAACGUUUGCGCCGAUUGACUAAGGGUUCCUGGGUCAAGCUGAUCUGCCCAGGGUAAGUCGGGACCUAAGGCGAGGCCGACAGGCGUAGUCGAUGGAUAACCGGUUGAUAUUCCGGUACCCGCUGUGAAGCGUCAAACAUCGAACCAGGCGAUGCUAAGUCCGUGAAGCCGCCCUGGAGCCUUCGGGCAAAGGGGAGUGGUGGAGCCGACGAACCAGACUUGUAGUAGGUGAGUGAUGGGGUGACGCAGGAAGGUAGUCCAUCCCGGGCGGUGGUUGUCCCGGGGUAAGGGUGUAGGCCGGUGUGUAGGUAAAUCCGCACACCUUGUGGCUGAGACCUGAUGCCGAGCCGAUUGUGGUGAAGUGGAUGAUCCUAUGCUGUCGAGAAAAGCCUCUAGCGAGUUUCAUGGCGGCCCGUACCCUAAACCGACUCAGGUGGUCAGGUAGAGAAUACCGAGGCGUUCGGGUGAACUAUGGUUAAGGAACUCGGCAAAAUGCCCCCGUAACUUCGGGAGAAGGGGGGCCACACCUGGUGAGGGAACUUGCUUCCUGAGCUGGGGGUGGCCGCAGAGACCAGCGAGAAGCGACUGUUUACUAAAAACACAGGUCCGUGCGAAGCCGUAAGGCGAUGUAUACGGACUGACGCCUGCCCGGUGCUGGAACGUUAAGGGGACCGGUUAGUCAGGAUUCGUUCUGGCGAAGCUGAGAACUUAAGCGCCAGUAAACGGCGGUGGUAACUAUAACCAUCCUAAGGUAGCGAAAUUCCUUGUCGGGUAAGUUCCGACCUGCACGAAUGGCGUAACGACUUCUCGACUGUCUCAACCAUAGGCCCGGUGAAAUUGCACUACGAGUAAAGAUGCUCGUUUCGCGCAGCAGGACGGAAAGACCCCGGGACCUUUACUACAGUUUGAUAUUGGUGUUCGGUUCGGCUUGUGUAGGAUAGGUGGGAGACUGUGAAGCGGGCACGCCAGUGUUCGUGGAGUCGUCGUUGAAAUACCACUCUGGUCGUGCUGGAUGUCUAACCUGGGUCCGUGAUCCGGAUCAGGGACAGUGUCUGAUGGGUAGUUUAACUGGGGCGGUUGCCUCCUAAAGGGUAACGGAGGCGCCCAAAGGUUCCCUCAGCCUGGUUGGCAAUCAGGUGUUGAGUGUAAGUGCACAAGGGAGCUUGACUGUGAGACCGACGGGUCGAGCAGGGACGAAAGUCGGGACUAGUGAUCCGGCGGUGGCUUGUGGAAGCGCCGUCGCUCAACGGAUAAAAGGUACCCCGGGGAUAACAGGCUGAUCUUCCCCAAGAGUCCAUAUCGACGGGAUGGUUUGGCACCUCGAUGUCGGCUCGUCGCAUCCUGGGGCUGGAGUCGGUCCCAAGGGUUGGGCUGUUCGCCCAUUAAAGCGGUACGCGAGCUGGGUUUAGAACGUCGUGAGACAGUUCGGUCCCUAUCCGCUGUGCGCGUAGGAGUCUUGAGAAGGGCUGUCCCUAGUACGAGAGGACCGGGACGGACGAACCUCUGGUGUGCCAGUUGUUCUGCCAAGGGCAUGGCUGGUUGGCUACGUUCGGGAGGGAUAACCGCUGAAAGCAUCUAAGCGGGAAGCCUGCUUCGAGAUGAGGACUCCCACCCACUUGA